rnacentral:rRNA from 1 species
ACAUGGAUAACUGUGGUAAUUCUAGAGCUAAUACAUGCCUUGAAGCCGAAACCUUACGGAAUCGGCGCAUUUAUUAGAUCAAAACCGAUCGGACUUCGGUCCGCUCUUUGGUGAAUCUGAAUAACUCAGCCGAUCGCACGGUCCUCGAACCGGCGACGUAUCUUUCAAAUGUCUGCCUUAUCAACUUUCGAUGGUAGUUUAUGCGCCUACCAUGGUUGUAACGGGUAACGGAGAAUAAGGGUUCGAUACCGGAGAGGGAGCCUGAGAAACGGCUACCACAUCCAAGGAAGGCAGCAGGCACGCAAAUUACCCACUCCCGGCACGGUGAGGUAGUGACGAAAAAUAACGAGAUGAUUCUCUCAGAGGCUCAUCAUCGGAAUGAGUACAAUUUAAAUCCUUUAACGAGGAUCAAUUGGAGGGCAAGUCUGGUGCCAGCAGCCGCGGUAAUUCCAGCUCCAAUAGCGUAUAUUAAAGUUGUUGCGUUUAAAAAGCUCGUAGUUGGAUCUGCGGCCUAGGAUAGCGGUCCCCCAAUGGGUGGUUACUGCUUUUCCUGGCCUAAUAUCUCCGGUUUUCCCUUGCUGCUCUUCACUGAGUGGCUUGGGUGGCUGGAACGUUUACUUUGAAAAAAUUAGAGUGCUUAAAGC